UUGAAAUUACCCCCAAAAGUUGUCAUCUCCCGAGUUGUCCAGUACAUUUCGGUUCCUGCAACGGCUCUGCUGACUGCACUGGUGUAAAUACGACUUGUAAUGAUGGAUGGUGUGUGUGUGACAUUAUGCACCAGUACUCAAGCGGCAGCUGUGUCCAAGGGUGUGCUACAUAUGGUUCGGAUUUCACAACAUUCAGAAAUAUGGCCUUGAUGGGAUACAACAACAGGAUCAUCAAGAACGUCACAACGAUAGAGGCAUGUAUGUCUGCAUGCUUUGCAGAAACAGGUUUCCUGUGUAUUACAGCAGAUAUCCAAUAUCUGUCGUCUGACUGCUACUUGAGUAGUACAGCUACGUAUGAGGUUCCACCAAGCCGCGUUCAGAGCUCUAGCAUUUACCAUGAAUUUAUCCGCAAUUGUGCUUAAGAUCCUUUUGAUCACUGGUUCCACAUUCUUUGUUUCAGUAUCUAAAAAGCAAAUAUUAAGCGUAUUUACCUGCCCACAUGAUUUCAUCCUUGAAAUAUGUUGUGUUAAGAAUAUGUUUCUAAAAUUUCAGCAAUAUGUUCGACAAUGCCCUGGUAAGAGAAGAAAAUUUUGAAAGAGAUCCAGGAUCGCUCUUGCCAUCGUGAUUGGUUUGUUUGUUGUUUUACGCCGCACUCAGCAAUAUUCCAGCUAUAUGACGGCGGUCUGUAAACAAUCGAGUCUGGACCAGACAAUCCAGUAAUUGAUAUCAUGAGCAUCGAAUCACGCAAUUGGGAUCGAUGACACCCGAUCCCGUUCGUCGCCUCUUACGACAAGCAUGGAUUGCUGAAGACAUAUUCUACCCUUGAUCUUCACGUGUCCUUGCCAUCAGGAAUUAUGGUGACUUUUUGUCACCUCUGAUGUGAACAAGCAUGACUCUAUGUCACACUUGCCAUGGUCGUAAGGGGUUUGGCAGGGAAUAGUCAGACUGUGGAAGUUUUUUGUUUGUUGUUUGAC